CGAAAAGGGCGUUUGGCGAAUGCCUUGGCAGUAAGAGGCGAUGAAAGACGUGAUACUCUGCGAUAAGCCAUGGGGAGCUGAGAAUAAGCUUUGAUCCAUGGAUUUCUGAAUGGGGCAACCCACCUGAUACUUUGUUAUUAUUGCUCAGCAAUGAGCAGCUAAUAAUGAGGUAAACCAGGUAUUUCUUUGUUGAAUAUAUAGACUUAGAAAAGCAAACCCGGG
rnacentral:rRNA from 1 species